UUCCUCUCUCUUCCUCGCACGGUCACAUCCGCGACGGCGACGAACGGGAGAGAGAGAGAGAGAGAGAGGCGGCGGUGAAGCCAGCAGCAGCGGCGGAAGAGAACGACGCCGGUGGGCGCCUUUCGUCGGAUUCGCGUGCAGAUCAAGGUUGCGCGCGGCUCCGUCGACUGGUGCUCGUCGGUGUCCUUCGCGAGGCGGGCGCGGACGCGGACGCGGACGCGCACGAGCGUCCAAAACCGGCACGGCGACGGGUCUCCAACGCCGACAAGCGAGCGAGGAGGCGCAGCGGACCCGAGCACACCCGCGCAGCUGAGGGGCUUGCUCCGGCGCCGUCGUGGCCAGCGACGACGACGACGACGACGACGACGACGACGAGACCCUCAACGUAAGAACUUGCCAAAUAUAUUUGUUUUGCUACGAAAACUGAAAGUGAUUGAGCUGGAAUUCUUCUCUUGACAACAACAACCUGACUGCUACUUCUACCAUAACUUCUAUCUACCAAGCACUUUGGACACCAGACCGAGAACUUGGUGUGACAUAUCAGAAUAGAGCAUCAUCAAGGAAGGGUUACGAACAAGGCCACAAGUUUUGAGGUGUUCAUGUUCAUGUAAUUUGCUUUAAGUAGGCCGAAUGUUUGUGUAUGUAUUGCGUUGUGAGCUAUGUAAGUGUAUUGUGGAUGUAAACUGAAUCAGAAGUAAUGAAAUCUUCCUUAUUUUUCACCUUUUGGAUGUAAACUGAAUCAGAAGCAAUGAAAUCUUCCAUACUUUUCA